rnacentral:lncRNA from 1 species
AAGAACAACGACGAUAUUGGAGUUGGGUACCCAUCACAGCCGAUGAAAAUAGAAGUAAGUUUGUGGGAUGGAGAUAGCUGGGCAACCGAUGGAGGCCGAACAAAGACUAAUUGGAGCAUGGCACCUUUCAAAGCCCAUUUCCAAGGAUUUGAUAUAAGUGGUUGCCCAAUAAUUCAGAACUCGAGCAACAUUCAACAAUGUUAUUCUCCCAAUUAUUGGUGGAAUUCAGAGAAAUAUUGGAAGUUAGACUCCAAGCAACAAGGAGAACUGCAAAAUGUAAGAAAGGAAUACAUGAACUAUGACUAUUGUUCGGAUAGGCCUAGAUACCCUGUUCCUCCUCCGGAGUGCCUUCAUCAAUAGCAGGCUAGAGUUCGUGGGGAUGGGUUAAUUUAAGUUGCUAUAUUAAAUAACAAUGCAGCUGAUGUAAUAAAAGAAAAUUUUAAAUUGUUCCACUUUAUAAAAUUAUUAUAGUUAUUUAUUAAUACUUUUUAAUAAUAAAUAUUUUCCCAUAAGUUAGGAAGUAGAUUAUUGUUACAUAUUCUACCAUGAAUUAGGAUCUAUUAUAGUUAGUAACAGCACAAGGUGACCAUUUCUCUCAUGGAAAACUCAUGCUUGAACUGAUCAAGUUACAAUAAAUUAACACAAAAAUACUUGAUUUUGGUUUUGAUUUGAUUGCUUCUUCUCUUUUACUAUAUUUUUCCCAUAAAACGAAAUUAAACAUAUCGAUGAAGACAAAUGAUAAAAAGUUUAUUACAACUAUCAAACAGUAAUAAAAAUUAAGGCAAUAUAAUAAAAUAAUAAAUUUUUUAAUUUUUAAUUUUUAAAUCGAUUAAUUCAUAUAGUUAUAUAAUAUUUUUGAUAUUCAAAUUCUAAGGUUUGUAAUUUCUUCUUAUACUCUUGUGCUAUCAUGUUACAAUCUCUUUAAAAAAUAAAUAAAUAAAUAAAUUUUCACCGGCCAAUUGCCUAAUUUAUAAAGUUGUCACAUGCUGAUUUGUUUUUAUUAUUCAUAAUCGAACGGGCUUAUAAAGCCCAAUCUACGAUCCAAGAACUCCAUCUGUAAUUGGCCGAAAAAAGAGAAAUUGUAUAAUUAAAAAGAAAAAAGUCUUCACCGAUCAGGUAAUUUUUUUGAAAGCUACGGGGACUGGGUAUUCCCAUGGCGGAUUUUCUAUAUCCAGUAGCAUAUUUUCAGUUUGCUACCCCAGUAAUGGCCCUUCUUCAAAGACCCUUUUUUGUGCUACUUCUUAUACUAACUCAUCAAUUCAUGCAAUGUUGGAUUGCUUUUGGAUCGGUCAAUGAAGAAGGAAAAAAACAAGAAGAAGAAUUCAAUGAGGAGCUACUAUUGAAGCCGUUGCCAGAUCGCAACGUGUUGGCCCAUUUCCAUUUUCGAAGCUCUGCCCCUCUUUCCACCACUUAUUUCCCAAAGCCAUUUCUCAAUUGGUACUUUUUUUAUUAGUUUAUUUUAUUUUUUCUUUUGGGUCACCGAGAAAUCUUACGCUUUUUUUUUUUUUGGUAUUUAUGUUCUUUCAUGUUGCUUUUGUUUAAAUGGAGUUAGAGAAAAGCUAGCUUAGCCAAGUCAGGUGGCUUUCUUCAGUUUCUGAAUCUAUCAGUAACUUAGAAAGGUGGUAGGAAAGCCCAAAACUUAAAUCUUUCCUUUGCUCUUCAUACAUUUAUUAGCAAAAUAUUUAAUCAUUGUGUGGUGUAAAGAGGAUUUUGGGUUUACUUGCUUUUGAUAUGCUUUGGUCUGUAUGUUGAUUUUUUAAGUUUAUCGUAAUGUUUGAAUAAAUAUUAAUAAAAUAAUAAAAAAAUAAUAUAUGUAUAAUUAUUUGGAUAAUUAAAAUUAAAAAAAAAAAUUUUUAUCAAUUAUUAUUUGGAUAAAUAAUAAAAAAAAGAAAAUGAUUCAUUAUAAUAAUUUUUUUAUUUAUAAUUUUUUAUUAUUUGUAAUUUUAAAAUAUUUUUGGAUAAUGAUAUAUUUGUUAUCUUAUUUAGCUUCAAAAUUAUUGUUAUAUCAGUGAUUUUUAAUCAAGUAAAACAUAAAGUUAUUUUACAAACAUGCAUUAAUGAAUUUUUUGAUCAUUAUCAAAACUUUAAUACACUAUUACUUUGACAAUAUAUUCAUAUAAAACUAUUAAAUAUAAAAAAUACAAUCAUAUGAAAACAUUACAUACUAAAGAAUUAUAUGUCCUUUUUGCACCAAACAAAAAGUAAUAAUAUAUUAUCAUAUAGUUGUCUAAUAUAAAUUUAUUUUAUCAAAAAGAGAUGAUUUUGAAAAAAUUAUAAGAAAAUUAUGAUGUGGUUUUGUUUUUUUUACUAAUUUUCUAGUAUUAAUAAAAAAAUAGAUAUAAUAAUCUUUUAAUAAAAAUAAAAUUUUUUUCAAUUUUCAUUUUUUUAGCUUUUUUUUAAAAAUUGAAAUAUUAAAAAAAUGAAGAUUACAAGAAAAAACAAAAGUUAUUGAGUUUUCACAUAUAUAUUUUUUUAAAUUAAAAAUUUAUCCAAACAAAAUUUUUUUUUCUGUUUUCAUUAUUAUUUUUUAUUUCUCUUUCUUUUUCUUUUCCUCUCCUUAAUCGAAUCAUACAGUAAGGAUCAGGUUAAGUAGGGAGUAAGGACUAUGGACUGGAGUUGUCAACUCAGGCUGAGUCAAUUUAAGUAGUUAGUGGACUGCAUCAAGUUACCAAAUAAUCGGGAUUUAAAAUUUUGAUUUAUUAGCUUUUGUUUCAUGAUGAAAAAUAGAUGCAUUAUAAGGUUAAAUCUUAUCAUUAUUGUCUUUGGAGCACUCAGCUUGGCCUGAGUCAAUUAAGGUAGGUCAUACAGGCUCUUUUUUUCUUUAAAGCCUUCUAUUAGCUUAUUUACAUAAAAAAUAUCAUUCAACCUAUCUCUGCAUUUUCCUAAUCAAGUUAUGAUUAGUUCAUUGUUUUCCGCAUUCAUAAAUAUACAUGAGAAUGAAAUGUUCUUAUGAACUCAUCCAACCUUUUCAGCAAUGUUAUGUCUGACAUGAAGUACAAAAUUGGCUACAAGUUUACCUGAAAAAUAUUAUGCACGAAUUGUGUAUGUCUUGCAUUAAUUUGUCUAUCUCUCUUUGUGUAAGGUAAAGAUAAGAGUCUUGAUAAACUUCCCAUUGUAGAUUUUACAAAGCGAGGAUCAGUACCCUUCUUAGGAGAAGAUGAAUAAACAUUCCUGCUCAUAUUUGGAAGAGGAACCUCCCACCGGCAUUGCAUUGGUGUAAUCAGGACAUAGAAUCAACGAACAGUCAAUGAUAAACCAUAAUGAAACAUAUAACCAACGAAUUGCUAUAACCUAAUGGAAAAGUGGUUGAUAUGGAACUGACUUAAAAAUGAGAAACGGGGUAGCCGUCAUGGAAAGCUAAGAUUCAUAAUAGGUUAGGGAAAAAGGAUGCCUUUUAAAUGAUACAGCUGUCUAAUCUUUUAAUGUUUACUGCAGUAUUUUUUAUUUCUACAUUUCGAGUAUUUCACAAACACCUUCUACCCCUCUCUCAUGUACAUACAUCUUAUUCAUCCAAAUCUAUUUGCCAUAUUGCAGAACCGAAUUCUAAUCUUUCCAUAACAUUCUACUUAACUUCCAUCAUUUACUUCAGCGUUUUACAUUACAUGACUGUUAAUAUUAGAAAUAUUCCAAAUAUUUCCUGAUUGUUGAAACCUCAAAAUGACAUCCAAUAUCAACAUAAUUGUUCUUUGGAUUAUUAUCCAAUCCGCUGCUAGUGCAGUGCAAACGCUCCACAAGCAGGAUUGUUUGAUGCAAUGCUUCCGUUUAACAAAAUGGACAUAGAAUUAGGAAGUUAACCUAACCGCUAAGUAAGGCAUGAAAAUUGAACAACCCCUUGAAGAGCUUUUGUGUUCUAAUAUUGUUGUAUAAGAUAAUGAUGUAUAUUCUUUUAUGACUAAGUCCUAAAGGAUGAUAGGAAAAGAAUAACGAAGAAAAGUUUGAAUACAAAGUCUUGACAACUAAUGCAGAUGUCUUACACUUCCAAAGAUCCAUUUCCCAGUAAGACAGCCAGAUAGCCCAUCCGUUGGUUGCAUUUAGAAUCAUUUAUAUCAUAAGGCUUCCAUUUUACAUCCCAAGCAACUUUUCCAUUGUGAGCUAGAAAGAGGACAGCUCUUGGCAGUGCAAUGUCACCUGGAAUAGAAGAACCGGGGCUGAACUCGAACGAAUUACUAUCUAAAAGAUUAUUCGGCACAGUAGCAUCCUGCCAGAGUUGUAACAAAUUUGUUGGUUUAUUGUCAAUGAAGAUUCUGUUUCUUCAUUUUGAGUCAAUAAUGGGAGGCAUUUACCAUCACUAAUAGUUUUUUGCUCGUGCCUUACUUUUCAAUUUUCUACUUUCCACAGAUGUAUUAGGGGCUGCAUCAGAUGAAAAUGCUGCCUCUUUGUCACCUUUUUGUUUUUUAUGAUGAUUCUUAUCUGAAACAUUUUCUUGCGUAUUUCCAGGAGCGUUGUCUAUUGCAACUGGCUCAAAGGAACCUUCUGGGUACUGAACAGGAAGAGGUUGGAAAGGCUCGUCAUUCUAAUUGCUGUUAGGAGAUUCACCAAUUGAUUUGUUUGUAGGUCUACCUGUUGGCCUCUUAACCUGAUCUAGUUGAGAUUCAACUAUUGGUUUCUUUCCAGGUCUUCCUCUAGGCCUCUUUGACGAGCUCUCCCCCAUGGCCUUUGUAUUUUGAGAUCUCCGUUUUGGCUUUUUCUUUAACAGAGGAGCUUCUUCCUCAUUCACCCCAACAUUUAGCAUACACCAUAUUUGAAUGAUGCCUCUACCAGUAAGUGGGGUGCCCAUCUUGUGAUAAUAAGAUUCAGGAGGAUGAGCAGCGACAGCAAUGAACUGGGAAAAAGAAGGCAAAAAAAGAAAAAGACAAAACAAGGACAGCCUCGCAAGAUUGCAGCAUUAAGAUGGUGAUAAUUAUUAUUAAAAAUCCUACUUAUUAAGCAUGCAGGCAAUAUUUUAAACCACUGUUUCAGAACAAAUCUAGGCUUUUGUCUCUUUCAUUUGAAAUAACCAAGUAGAUAGAGGUUUGGGCUAUAAUGAUAAAUUGAAGGUGGAAUACACGAAAAAAAAAAAAAAAGAAUAAAAGGUUCCCAGAAGUGGGUUAGGGAUUUGGGAGGGGAGAAGUGGGGAAGUACCUCACAUUUGACAGGACUGUUAGGAUUCUCAUGAACUCUAGGACACCAUUAAUCUAAUGCCCAAACAGACCCUCCAACAUACAUCACGAAGUCCUUGCUGCAAGAUGAUUGUACUUUAAUCAUGUCAUUCAAUAAAUGUAUAAAACAUACCAUUUUGCAGCGGUGUUGGCUUCACAAAUAAAAAUAUUUGGGUGCCCAUACACAGAUCUUAAAUAAGAGGAGCAAUAAUAACACCAAGUUCUUAUCUUAUAACAUGUAUAUGCAUCACAGAUCAACAAGAGCAAACACCAUCCAUAACAUGUUGUUCAUAAGAGUUAAAAUUUUUUAAACAAAGGAGGAAUCCUGUAGGAUAGCAGAACUUUUAUGGUCAAGAAUAAAACUAAGACCUUUUCCAAACCCACAGUACACCAUCCUUUUACCACCUAAACCCAAUAACAUUGGAAACUGAAAUUGCUCCAACCAAAAUCCAAUCUAACAUGGAUUCUGGAGAUGCAUUACUUACUCGUAGUCCUUCCUGCUGCUUCCAUAAGAAAAAAAGAAAGAAAAAAAAGAAAAAAAAAACAACAAUGAGUAUUAACAGAAUAUUAUGCUAUAACAAGUAAAAACUAUUCCAGAAGAUUUAUGCAGUCAUUGAACAUUCCUCCAUGUGAGGGACCCAAAAUAAAAAGAUUUUCUUUCACCUUGGGAACAGUUGCUGAUGAAAACUGAGGCAAGUUUAUGCCACCAGAAACAUCUUUACCCGGUGAGUCUCCUAGUUCGCUAGCAAACCCAAUGAUCCUCGGUUCAUAAUUAAAAUGCCUCCAUUCCCUAAAAGCAUGUUUAAUAGUAAAUUAAGAACUUGUACAUGUCUAUAUUGGACAGAUAAAACUAACAUAAAAAAAAAAAAAUACCCGACGUACAUCAGCAAAGUCAAUUCAAUCGCAUUUGGAAGUUCUAAAUGCACAAAGAUGAGCAUAAAGUUACCUUAAGAAAGUGAUUGAAGAAGAGAAUCUCCGGAUAUCAGUUUCAUCGAGACCAUCAAUCUUGGGUUCUUCACAAAUCUAGAGAUUGUAUCCAUUACCCUAAAAUGUUUCUCGAUUGAAUAACCAAAUAUAGAGAACCUAACUCCAGAAUCACCAUUAAAUGGUGGUUCUUCCAUUUUUCUGUUUCUUUUUUCCUACAUGUAACACAUCUGUUCGUCAAUCACUCAAAUAUGAGACAUAUAAUGCUAGAGAAGUUUUUUUUUUUCUGUUAGUAGGAGAACAAACGUCCGUAUAAAGGAAAGAAAGACAGCGGAAUUAGAACCUACGUCCAUAAGUCUUUUUUAAAAUCUCUUAAUCAUUACAUCAAAAGAAAAGACAUAUAAUGUUAGAGAGUUGAUUAUAAGAAAUAAAACGUAAACUAUAACUGAAUGCUAAAUUUGAUACUUUAACUUAAAAAAAAAUUCAAUUCAAAAAAUUGUUGGAGCCUAACUCUGAGUUGCAAUCAACAAUAUAACUUAAUUUAAACAAAAUAAAUGUAAUAUGGAACAUCACAUUUAAUAAUAAUUACGACGCAUUAACUUGAAAUUCUUUCUAAACCUUUUUCAUCAGUAAACUUAAGUUUUUCCCUCUUAACCAAAAACAACAAAAAAUAAAAUAAAAUAAAAUCCAUGAAUUUCACAUAUUUUUCCUCUCAAAAUUUCGUGACCCAAACAUACCAGUAGGCAACGAUAAUUAGCUCAGAUGACCUGAUUUUAUUUCAAAGCAGACAGAUAAUAUAUGUGCCUCUAAAUGAUGAAAAUUAAAGGUAUUAUAUUUAAAGACAAAUAUGAUUUAUGCCUUAAAUCCAUUAUUUUAAAAAUUAAUAUUUAUGUGUAGCUUAUUCUUUGCCUUUAAUUAUUGGUUUUGUUGUAGUGUAUAAAAAAUAAUGUAUAUUAUAAUUUGAGUUAUAAUCGACUAAGUUUGGGCUUUGAAUGCUAGUCUCAAGUUUCAAUUUACAUUUUAAAAGAACUCGAAGACGUCAAAGGAUAGAGUAUGGGGCAGGUAGAAUAUUUUUCUUUUUUAUUCUCAAAUUUUUAUAUUAUAUUAAUUCUUAUAUCUAUAUUCAAUGAAAAUUUUAAAUUUAUUCACAUUUUUACCUACGAAAAUAUUUAAUUGAUGCAAAUAAUUCUUAUACUCUUAGCUUUUUUAAAAAAUAAAUUUUACCUUUUAAUUUAUUUUAAUUUUUAUCUUACAUAUUCAUAUAAUUUUUUUAUAAAUAUAUUAAUAUAUAUUUAAAAUAAAAUAUAUGUUAAUUUUAAUUAAUCAAAAAUAAAAUUUUAUAUUAUUUAAUAAUAAAUUUAUUUACUAAAUAUAUAGGCAACGGGUACAAAAUAUGUGCUAUAUUACUUGUCUCUAUCCUUGUAUCAAAUAAAAAAUUUUAAAUCAUAUUUAUGCCAUUCUUAAAAUUUAAUACCCAUUUUAAUCCCAUUGGGUAAAAAGUUAGAUUUUCUAUCUGAUAUGGAUAAAAUUAAUAUCCUUAAAUGAGUUUAAUGUUUUACACAAAUCUAUUUAAUGGGUUUAAUAUUUUUGUUUAAACCUUCAAAAAUAUUGAAUGAGCCCUCAAAACUUGAAUGGAUAACUUGACCAUUGGAUAAAUCUAUCAAAAUAUUUAACAUUUUUAUAAAUGUAAAACAAAACAAAAACAAAAAUAAUCGUAAAUAUAAUUUGAGUUUAAAUUUAUAAAUAAUAUGGAUGGUAGUACUUACAAGAGUAAGGAUACAGUUAUAAUGGUGUAAGUUUUACAUUUUUUUUAUAUCAAAAUUAAAUUUAUGUAUUAAAAUAAUAUUUAAUCUCAACCACUUUGAUCUAAUAAUAAAAAAAAAAAUGUAAAACUUAUAUUAACACAAGUGGAUCGCUCAUCUUACCUAUAAUGGUAUACAAUGAAAGACUCUCUCUAAAUUUUUAAUUAUCCACUUGAUAUUUUGCAAAUAAAUUUGUUGAACUUCAAAAUUCCUUCACUGAAUAAGGAAAUAAUCCAAUUGAAUUGCAUUCAAUUUACAUUCAUUGAAUAUGAAUGGUACAACAAAACCAAGUCCUAAUCCCCAUUUCUUAUCGAAUUAACCUAUUUACUUGCCGUCAAAGACUUUUUUUGUAUUAGAAAUUUUCGAAAAGAAGUUGACAAAUUUCACAAGUAAGACAUUAAAAGACAUUAAAUAAAGAUUUAAUUGAAAAAAAUAAAAAUAAAAAAUAGAAAGACAUGAUGAUUUGUUUGGAGUAAGAUGAUGGGUUUAUAGCAUUCAAAAAUUCAGUUUGAUAAUUACUCAUGAUGACGAGUAAAAAAAAUGUUUGGUAGGUUUCUCCUUUAUAUAGUUAUCUUAUAGAAAUGUCAAGUAAUCUGUAAGCUUCCAUAUAAAGUAGGCAGGUUUCUCUUUUAUCUAGUUAUCUUAUAGAAAUGUCAAGUAAUCUGUAAACUUCCAUAUAAAGUAGGUAGGUCUCCCUUUUAUCUAGUUAUCUUAUAGAAAUGUCAAGUAAUCUAUAAACUUGCAUAUAAGGUUUUGAUUGUGAGAUUGAUAUAAUAAAUUCAAAUAAAUAAUAUAAUCAAAAUAUUCUAUUUCUAAAAUGAACCUGCCCUGUUUUAAGAGAAAUGGCCAAUUAAUUGAACUAUAGAAGGCAACCAAAUCGACUUACUCUUUUCCUUUCAUGCAUGAAUCUAAGACUAUUGCUAUCUAUAUAAGAGACUUGUGAUCAGAUCACUAACAUGCAAGUAAAUUAUAACAAUCGCUUUUAUUUUUUUUUUAGUGAAUAUAUGAUAAGAAGUUCAUUAAAACUUCCAAUUAUUUACAAGAAGAAAUACAAAGAUAUGGCUAUGGAAAAGAGGUUUUCUCCUUUUGCAAUUUCUUAUUCAUAUUAUUGUUUCAGACAUAUAUAUAUUUCAUGAUGAUUUUACUGUUGGAUUUUCUUUUUUAGUAGUCAUCAACCUAAUUAAUAAAUAAAUAUGGAAUUGGACAGGUUCUUCUUCGGUCUUCUCAUUGCAGCUAUAGUAAGUGCAAUCAGAGCAGGUGAUGUUAGUUUUGAUAAGAAUUAUCACGUCACAUGGGGAAACUCUCAUGUGACUUCUCUAAACCAAGGAAGAGAAAUUCAUCUUUUAAUGGAUAAUACUUCAGGUUCGAUACAUGAAAACAACUAACUUAUACAUUUGCAUGCAUGUAUAAACGUAUUUAAAAAAGACACGUGCAUAUAUAUAAUCACUCGUAGCUAAACUUUUAAUAUAUGAAAAUGUAAAUUAAAAAACAAAGAAUCACUAAUGGUGGUUAUAUGAAUGCAGGGGCUGGGUUCCAGUCCAAUGUCGGGUAUGCUUCAGGGUUUUUCCAAAUGAAAAUAAAGACACCCAACAAGGAUUCUACUGGAGCUGUUACAACUUUUUAUGUACAUAUAUCUUUUUCUGUACUUUAAAAAAAAAUUCCUGUCUUCUCUAACAUGUAUUAGUUAAAGUAUAAUUUAAUGAACAUUUUGGUGGGUUGAUGGCAUGUAUGCAGUUGACCUCAAAUCCACAAAACACAGGAAACCAUGACGAGCUAGAUUUUGAGUUUUUGGGUAGCAAGGGUCCUCCUUUUACAUUGCAAACAAAUGUUUUCGCUAAUGAUAGAGGAGGCCGAGAGCAAAGGAUUCAUCUUUGGUUUGAUCCCACUGCUGAUUUUCAUACUUACGGAAUUCUUUGGAAUCAGCAUCAAAUAGUGUAAGCAAAAACUAUUCUCUUUAAACUAAUUUGAUUCUAAUUUAACUAGUUACAACAUUGCUUUGAAGUCCUUGGUUUUAUGUUUUGUGCAGGGUUCAUGCAUGGAAAUUAACAUUUCUAAUUUAAGUCUCUUAAAAAUAAUUUGAUUCUUUAACCCUAGUUUUCUUGCCUUUUCAGGUUUUAUGUGGAUAAUACACCCAUAAGAGUUUUCAAGAACAAUACAAAUAUCGGAGUAAAUUAUCCUUCACAACAAUUAGUGAUUCAAGGAAGCCUAUGGAAUGGAGAAGGUUGGGCAUCGGGUGGAAGAAAAAUUGAUUGGAGUCAAGCUCCAUUUAUAGCCAGUUUUCAAGGGUUCAACGUGGAUGGUUGUCAAUUCCACGACACUGCGACCAAAGCGCAAUGCUAUAAUUCUAACUUGUGGUGGAAUGGAAACAAAUAUUUGGAACUAGACCCUGCUCAGCACAAAGCAUUACAGUAUGCAAGAACCAAGUACAUGUUUCAAGACUACUGCACUUCUCCAAGUGGGAGGUACCAUAAAGAAUGCGGAAGUAAUAAAUAAAUGAAGAGAUAAAUAUGUAAAAAUUUCUGCUUAGUUGGAUUGUUUUAUAUGCAAUAUAUAGAUAGCAAAUAAAUUAGAAUAUUUUCAUUAAAAAAUUAUAAACAUUGGUAUUCUUAUCCUUGUACAAAAAUGGAAAUUAUCAUGUUUAUGCCCUUUAAAAAAAAAACAAAAUAAUAAAUAAACCAAACAAAUGUCAAAUUUGUUGGGUAUUUCAAUUUCAAAGUCAAUCCCAAAGUUGCUUUUCCAAUCACAAAUGAGAAUGACGUCAAGCCCAUCCUUCUGGGCCCACAAUGCGGUGCUAUAAAGGCACUUUCACGGAGUUGGGUAUCUUCUCCAUGAUGGUUGGAUCCGACAAGCCACAAUUUAUGAACUUUGUUAGAAGGAAAGGGUCGUUCAAUAAAUUGGUAAGUGAGGUAAACGAUCAAUUCAAAGCCUAUCCAAUAAAAGAUUUUAUAUUUCGUUCAAAAAAAUUUAUAAAAAUACUUAGAGCACCAAAACUAAAAAGCGCACAUGAACAUGUGGAGGUUAGAAAAGUUCUUUCUUGCACUGCUGUGCAACAUGUUUGUCUUUGUUUUCCCACGCUUCCAACUUUCUCUUCUGAAGCCCAACCCGUGUUUGUUAUUUUCCAAAGAUGAACCUUUAGGUACUCUCUCUCAGCCUUGCUGUUCCAAUGUAAAAGGAGUCUCCUCCUAUAUAUAAAAUGCUUAUUUGAUUUGGUUUGCGCAACCGUGUCACCCUCAAAAUGAUUUUAUAUUGAUUCGGUUGGCUUUAAUUUGAUGCCAUCGUCAUAGCACAUGGAAAUCGAUUUAUUUGUGUUUAGUCAUACAUUUACCAUUCGUGAAGAAUUCAACUUUCUUGGUUGUUUUUUUUAAUUUAAAGCCAAAUUAAUCUUGAGAUUGUUUCUGACGUCUGGAUUAAUUAGGCGCACACAAAUACAAUUUAUUGCGUUUGUUUGUUUCAAGAGUGAUAAAAUAGGUUUAUAUGCACCAAAAAUCAAAAUGUUUUUUUUAUAUACUCAACUUUUAUUCCUAAAGUAAAUAAUUGGUAAACAUGAUUCAAACUUUGAAAAACUGACUUAAUUCAUUAAAUUUAAAAUCGAACCUAAUUUAAUUUGAUUAAAAAAAUCAUCGACAUAAAUCUAUUUAACUCAAUUUUAAAAUAACUCUCAAGUUUAAAUUCAAAGUAACUUAAAAUUGAGAUGAUUUAAACUUAAAAAUAAAUCAAAAUGAUUUAUUUCAAACUCGCUUAAUUACCAUACCUCUUUAGGAUCUUUUGAACUUUGUGACUUCAAACUUGGGGGUUGUUAAUUCUUCAAGUUAAGGAAAAAGAAACAGAUUAAUGUGUUAGUCCUCCACAAUCAUUUGUAGUUUGAAGUUGCUUCCAAUUGUUCAAAGCAGUGCUAGAUAGAAUACGUGUAAGAGGUUUGUUGUAUGCGGAUAACAAUGAAGAAGUCAAUAGCGUGUAAGGAAGUUGGAUCAAAUGGUGAUACCUUAUACUUUUCUUUUCUUUUUUGGCUUUUUUCAUGGAUAGAUCUUAGUUGGGAAGCUGGCAGAUCAAAACAUCGAUCCCUAUAUAAACUCACUAAAUGAUAAUGCAGUCGUUACUAAAGAUAUGGAAAUGCAAUAUUUUUCCCUGCAGCUAUGUUUACUUUCAUCAAUAUUUUUCCUUCUUGGCUGCUGCAGCCUGUUUGCAAACACUACUGAUAUUGUUAGAUUUGAUGAAAACUAUGAAAUUACAUGGGGAAGUGAUCAUGUUUUGUCUUUAAAUCAAGGAAGUGAAAUUCAGCUCUCAAUGGAUAUCUCUUCCGGUUAUCUUCUUUCUCUCCUAACACUCACUUAAUAGCUAUAAAUACAAUAUAAUUUAUGGUACAGAACAUUAUGCAUGCUUUUUUUUUUUUUUACUUUUUAUUUUUUUUAAAGAAAAAAAGACAUAUUUUUCAUUUGACUUAGUUGAAAAUUAUGUCACAUGGUUUAUACCAUCUUAGAGAAUCUUUUCUUUUUCUUAAAAAAUCUUAAAUAUCAAUAUUUAUAUGAUACGUUUAUAGAGUACUAAAUUAUUAAUUUCAAUAAUCAAAAUUUAAUUUUUAAUAACUUUAAAUUAAUAUAUUAAAAAUAUUUAAACCCUAAUCAUUAAUAAGAAUCUAACACUAUAUGAAUAGAUACUAUCAUUGUUAUCACUUAUAGAGGAUUGAUUUAAUCCACUGUUCUAUCUUGAAGUGCGGAAUAUUGAGGUGUUUUAAAAUGUGGUGGAAUUAUUAAAAAAAAAAAACCAAUUACCAAAUAAAUCUUUGUGAUAUUCCCACUAUAUUUAACUUCUUCAUUUUUUUUUGUCACUAUUGUUUAUUGAAGAAAUUAAAAAUGAUCAAUUACAGGAGCUGGGUUUGGGUCGAAGCUGAGUUAUGUUAGUGGGUUUUUUCAUUUGAGGAUAAAGCUACCCAAUAAGGAUUCUGCUGGAGUUGUUACUGCUUUUUACGUAAAAUAUCUUUCAUUUCUGUUUAAUUUCCUCUUGAAUUUACCAAUAUUCUUAUUGAUUAUUUGUAAUGACAAUUAACAGCUGACAUCAAAAGGCAAGAGGCAUGACGAGCUGGAUUUUGAGUUCUUAGGUAAUAGAGAAGGCAAGCCGAUUAGCUUGCAAACCAAUGUGUUCGCAGAUGGUGUUGGGAAUAGAGAGCAAAGGUUUCUUCUCUGGUUUGAUCCUACUGCAGAUUUCCACGAUUACCAAAUUCUUUGGAACCAACACCAAAUUGUGUACGAAUAAUCUCCCCUUCUCCUUUUUCUGCAUUGCAUGCCUUAAUUAAUAUGAUUAUUUUCGCAUCAAUAAUUUUGUGAAAAUAUAUUUUUUUGAAUUUAAAAUUUAAUUAAAUUAAUUUAUGUACUCAUUUUUAAACCAUGAAAUCCAAUGAAUUUAAUAAUUAAAUAAAAACAUCUAUAAUUUUUUAUUUAUCAUCAAAUUACGCUUACGACUGAUUAUACCAUUAUAUUUGAAAUAUAUAUGGUUUUAAUUAAAUGUGAUGAGAACCUUUUCUCACUGCACUGAAUUGCCUAUCAAAAUGGACACUAUAUAUAUAUAACUAUAUGUAUAGGUAUAUUUAUGCAUAUGGAUGCCUGUGUUUACAGAUUCUACGUGGACGACAUCCCCAUCAGGGUGUUCAAGAACAACGACGAUAUUGGAGUUGGGUACCCAUCACAGCCGAUGAAAAUAGAAGUAAGUUUGUGGGAUGGAGAUAGCUGGGCAACCGAUGGAGGCCGAACAAAGACUAAUUGGAGCAUGGCACCUUUCAAAGCCCAUUUCCAAGGAUUUGAUAUAAGUGGUUGCCCAAUAAUUCAGAACUCGAGCAAUAUUCAACAAUGUUAUUCUCCCAAUUAUUGGUGGAAUUCAGAGAAAUAUUGGAAGUUAGACUCCAAGCAACAAGGAGAACUGCAAAAUGUAAGAAAGGAAUACAUGAACUAUGACUAUUGUUCGGAUAGGCCUAGAUACCCUGUUCCUCCUCCGGAGUGCCUUCAUCAAUAGCAGGCUAGAGUUCGUGGGGAUGGGUUAAUUUAAGUUGCUAUAUUAUUAAAUAACAAUGCAGCUGAUGUAAUAAAAGAAAAUGUUAAAUUGUUCGACUUUAUAAAAUUAUUAUAGUUAUUUUUUAAUACUUUUUAAUAAUACAUAUUUACCCAUUAUUAUUGUUACAUAUUCUACCAUGAAUUAGGAUCUAUUAUAGUUAGUAACAGCACAAGGUGACCAUUUCUCUCAUGGAAAACUCAUGCUUGAACCGAUCAAGUUACAAUAAAUUAACACAAAAAUACUUGAUUUUGGUUUUGAUUUGAUUGCUUCUUCUCUUUUACUAUAUUUUUCCCAUAAAACGAAAUUAAACAUAUCGAUGAAGAGAAAUGAUAAAAAGUUUAUUACAAUUAUCAAACAGUAAUAAAAAUUAAGGCAAUAUAAUAAAAUAAUAAAUUUUUAAAUUUUUAAUUUUUAAAUCGAUUAAUUCAUAUAAUUAUAUAAUAUUUUUUAUAUUCAAAUUCUAAGGUUUGUAAUUUCUUCUUAUACUCCUAUGCUAUCAUGUUACAAUCUCUUUAAAAAAUAAAUAAAUAAAUAAAUUUUCACCGGCCAAUUGCCUAAUUUAUAGAGUUGUCACAUGCUGAUUUGUUUUUAUUAUUCUAUAAUCGAACGGGCUUAUAAAGCCCAAUCCACGAUCCAAGAACUCCAUCUGUAAUUGGCCGAAAAAAGAGAAAUUGUAUAAUUAAAAAGAAAAAAGUCUUCACUGAUCAGGUAAUUUUUUUGAAAGCUACGGGGAAUGGGUAUUCCCAUGGCGGAUUUUCUAUAUCCAGUAGCAUAUUUUCAGUUUGCUACCCAGUAAUGGCCCUUCUUCAAAGACCCUUUUUUGUGCUACUUCUUAUACUAACUCAUCAAUUCAUGCAAUGUUGGAUUGCUUUUGGAUCGGUCAAUGAAGAAGGCAAAAAAACAAGAAGAAGAAUUCAAUGAGGAACUACUAUUGAAGCCGUUGCCAGAUCGCAAAGUGUUGGCCCAUUUCCAUUUUCGAAGCUCUGCCUCUCUUUCCACCUCUAAUGGCGGCCACCACCACUUAUUUCCCAAAGCCAUUUCUCAAUUGGUACUUUUUUAUUAUUUUAUUUUAUUUUUUCUUUUGGGUCACCGAGAAAUCUUAGGCUUUUUUUUUUUUUUUUGUAUUUAUGUUCUUUCAUGUUGCUUUUGUUUAAAUGGAGUUAGAGAAAAGUUAGCUUAGCCAAGUCAGGUGGCUUUCUUCAGUUUCUGAAUCUAUUAGUAACUUAGAAAGGUGGUAGGAAAGCCCAAGACUUAAAUCUUUCCUUUGCUCUUCAUACAUUUAUUAGCAAAAUAUUUAAUCAUUGUGUGGUGUAAAGAUGAUUUUGGGUUUACUUGCUUUUGAUCUGCUUUUGUGAAUGUUGAUUUUUUAAGUUUAACCUAAUGUUUGAAUAAAUAGUAAUAAAAUAAUAAAAAAAUAAUAUAUGUAUCAUUAUUUGGAUAAUUAAAAUUAAAAAAAAAAUUUUAUCAAUUAUUAUUUGGAUAAAUAAUAAUAAAAAAAUGAUUCAUUAUAAUAAUUUUUUUAUUUAUAACUUUUUAUUAUUUGUAAUUUUAAAAUAUUUUUGGAUUAUGAUACGUUUGUUAUCUUAUUUAACCUCAAAAUUACUGUUAUAUCAAUGAUUUUUAAUCAAGUGAGACAUAAAAUUAUUUUACAAAUAUGCAUUAAUGAAUUUUUUGAUCAUUGUCAAAAUUUCAACCACAAACAACAUUUCACAUAUUUUCCCUUUGAAAAUUUCGUGACCCAAACAUACCAGUAGGCAACGAUAAUUAGCAGACAGAUAAUAUAUGUGCCUCUAAAUGAUGAAAAUUAAAAGCAUAAUAAUAUUAUAACGUAACGUUUGAAUAAAUAUUAAUAAAAUAAUAAAAAAUAAUAUACAUAAUUAUUUGAAUAAUUAAAAUUAAUAAAAAAAUUCUAUUGAUUAUUAUUUGGAUAAAUAAUACAGAAGAAAAAAAAUGAUUCAUUAUAAUAAUUUUUUUAUUUAUUACUUUUUAUUAUUUGUAAUUUUAGAAUAUUUUUGGAUUAUGAUAUGUUUGUUAUUAUUCAGUCUCAAAAUUACUGUUAUAUCAAUAAUUUUUAAUCAAGUGAAACAUAAAGUUAUUUUAUAAACAUGCAUUAAUGAAUUUUUUAAUCAUUGUCAAAAUUUUAGCACAUUAUCACUUUGACGAUGUAUACAUAUAAAGCUAUUAAAUAUAAAAAAUACAAUCAUAUGAAAACAUUACAUACUAAUGAAUUAUAUGUCUUUUUUGCACCAAACAAAAAGUAAUAAUAUAUUACCAUAUAAUUAUCGAAUAUAAAUUUAUUUUACCAAAAAGAGAUAAUUUUAAAAAAAUUAUAAGAAAAUUGUGAUGUAGUUUUGUUUUUUUACUAAUUUUCUAGUAUUAAUAAAACAAUUAAAUAUAAUAAUCUUUUAAUAAAAAUAAAAUUUUUUCAAUUUUCAUUUUUUUAGCUUUUUUUUUUUUUAAAUUGGAGUAUUAAAAAAAUGAAGAUUACAAGAAAAAACAAAAGUUAUUGAGUUUUCACAUAUAUAUUUUUUAAAAUUAAAAAUUUAUCCAAACAAAAAUUUUUUUUCUGUUUUCAUCAUUAUUUUUUAUUUCUCUUUCUUUUUCUUUUCCUCUCCUUAAUCCAAUCAUACAGUAAGGAUCAGGUUAAGUAGGGAGUAAGGACUAUGGACUGGAGUUGUCAACUCAGGCUGAGUCAAUUUAAGUAGUUAGUGGACUGCAUCAAGUUACCAAAUAAUCGGGAUUUAAAAUUUUGAUUUAUUAGCUUUUGUUUCAUGAUGAAAAAUCGAUGCAUUAUAAGGUUAAAUCUUAUCAUUAUUGUCUUUGGAGCACUCAGUUUGGCCUGAGUCAAUUAAGGUAGGUCAUACAGGCUCUUUUUUUUCUUUAAAGCCUUCUAUUAGCUUAUUUACAUAAAAAAAUAUCAUUCAACCUAUCUCUGCAUUUUCCUAAUCAAGUUAUGAUUAGUUCAUUAUUUUCCGCAUUCAUAAAUAUACAUGAGAAUGAAAUGUUCUUAUGAACUCAUCCAACCCUUUCAGCAAUGUUAUGUCUGACAUGAAGUACAAAAUUGGCUACAAGUUUACCUGAAAAAUAUUAUGCACGAAUUGUGUAUGUCUUGCAUUAAUUUGUCUAUCUCUCUUUGUGUAAGGUAAAGAUAAGAGUCUUGAUAAACUUCCCAUUGUAGAUUUUACAAAGCGAGGAUCAGUACCCUUCUUAGGAGAAGAUGAAUAAACAUUCCUGCUCAUAUUUGGAAGAGGAACCUCCCACCGGCAUUGCAUUGGUGUAAUCAGGACAUAGAAUCAACGAACAGUCAAUGAUAAACCAUAAUGAAACAUAUAACCAACGAAUUGCUAUAACCUAAUGGAAAAGUGGAUGAUAUGGAACUGACUUAAAAAUGAGAAACGGGGUAGCCGUCAUGGAAAGCUAAGAUUCAUAAUAGGUUAGGGAAAAAGGAUGCCUUUUAAAUGAUACAGCUGUCUAAUCUUUUAAUGUUUACUGCAGUAUUUUUUAUUUCUACAUUUCGAGUAUUUGACAAACACCUUCUACCCCUCUCUCAUGUACAUACAUCUUAUUCAUCCAAAUCUAUUUGCCAUAUUGCAGAACCGAAUUCUAAUCUUUCCAUAACAUUCUACUUAACUUCCAUCAUUUACUUCAGCGUUUUACAUUACAUGACUGUUAAUAUUAGAAAUAUUCCAAAUAUUUCCUGAUUGUUGAAACCUCAAAAUGACAUCCAAUAUCAACAUAAUUGUUCUUUGGAUUAUUAUCCAAUCCGCUGCUAGUGCAGUGCAAACGCUCCACAAGCAGGAUUGUUUGAUGCAAUGCUUCCGUUUAACAAAAUGGACAUAGAAUUAGGAAGUUAACCUAACCGCUAAGUAAGGCAUGAAAAUUGAACAACCCCUUGAAGAGCUUUUGUGUUCUAAUAUUGUUGUAUAAGAUAAUGAUGUAUAUUCUUUUAUGACUAAGUCCUAAAGGAUGAUAGGAAAAGAAUAACGAAGAAAAGUUUGAAUACAAAGUCUUGACAACUAAUGCAGAUGUCUUACACUUCCAAAGAUCCAUUUCCCAGUAAGACAGCCAGAUAGCCCAUCCGUUGGUUGCAUUUAGAAUCAUUUAUAUCAUAAGGCUUCCAUUUUACAUCCCAAGCAACUUUUCCAUUGUGAGCUAGAAAGAGGACAGCUCUUGGCAGUGCAAUGUCACCUGGAAUAGAAGAACCGGGGCUGAACUCGAACGAAUUACUAUCUAAAAGAUUAUUCGGCACAGUAGCAUCCUGCCCAGAGUUGUAACAAAUUUGUUGGUUUAUUGUCAAUGAAGAUUCUGUUUCUUCAUUUUGAGUCAAUAAUGGGAGGCAUUUACCAUCACUAAUAGUUUUUGCUCGUGCCUUACUUUUCAAUUUUCUACUUUCCACAGAUGUAUUAGGGGCUGCAUCAGAUGAAAAUGCUGCCUCUUUGUCACCUUUUUGUUUUUUAUGAUGAUUCUUAUCUGAAACAUUUUCUUGCGUAUUUCCAGGAGCGUUGUCUAUUGCAACUGGCUCAAACGAACCUUCUGGGUACUGAACAGGAAGAGGUUGGAAAGGCUCGUCAUUCUAAUUGCUGUUAGGAGAUUCACCAAUUGAUUUGUUUGUAGGUCUAGCUGUUGGCCUCUUAACCUGAUCUAGUUGAGAUUCAACUAUUGGUUUCUUUCCAGGUCUUCCUCUAGGCCUCUUUGACGAGCUCUCCCCCAUGGCCUUUGUAUUUUGAGAUCUCCGUUUUGGCUUUUUCUUUAACAGAGGAGCUUCUUCCUCAUUCACCCCAACAUUUAGCAUACACCAUAUUUGAAUGAUGCCUCUACCAGUAAGUGGGGUGCCCAUCUUGUGAUAAUAAGAUUCAGGAGGAUGAGCAGCGACAGCAAUGAACUGGGAAAAAGAAGGCAAAAAAAGAAAAAGACAAAACAAGGACAGCCUCGCAAGAUUGCAGCAUUAAGAUGGUGAUAAUUAUUAUUAAAAAUCCUACUUAUUAAGCAUGCAGGCAAUAUUUUAAACCACUGUUUCAGAACAAAUCUAGGCUUUUGUCUCUUUCAUUUGAAAUAACCAAGUAGAUAGAGGUUUGGGCUAUAAUGAUAAAUUGAAGGUGGAAUACACGAAAAAAAAAAAAAAGAAUAAAAGGUUCCCAGAAGUGGGUUAGGGAUUUGGGAGGGGAGAAGUGGGGAAGUACCUCACAUUUGACAGGACUGUUAGGAUUCUCAUGAACUCUAGGACACCAUUAAUCUAAUGCCCAAACAGACCCUCCAACAUACAUCACGAAGUCCUUGCUGCAAGAUGAUUGUACUUUAAUCAUGUCAUUCAAUAAAUGUAUAAAACAUACCAUUUUGCAGCGGUGUUGGCUUCACAAAUAAAAAUAUUUGGGUGCCCAUACACAGAUCUUAAAUAAGAGGAGCAAUAAUAACACCAAGUUCUUAUCUUAUAACAUGUAUAUGCAUCACAGAUCAACAAGAGCAAACACCAUCCAUAACAUGUUGUUCAUAAGAGUUAAAAUUUUUUAAACAAAGGAGGAAUCCUGUAGGAUAGCAGAACUUUUAUGGUCAAGAAUAAAACUAAGACCUUUUCCAAACCCACAGUACACCAUCCUUUUACCACCUAAACCCAAUAACAUUGGAAACUGAAAUUGCUCAAACCAAAAUCCAAUCUAACAUGGAUUCUGGAGAUGCAUUACUUACUCGUAGUCCUUCCUGCUGCUUCCAUAAGAAAAAAAGAAAGAAAAAAAAGAAAAAAAAAACAACAAUGAGUAUUAACAGAAUAUUAUGCUAUAACAAGUAAAAACUAUUCCAGAAGAUUUAUGCAGUCAUUGAACAUUCCUCCAUGUGAGGGACCCAAAAUAAAAAGAUUUUCUUUCACCUUGGGAACAGUUGCUGAUGAAAACUGAGGCAAGUUUAUGCCACCAGAAACAUCUUUACCCGGUGAGUCUCCUAGUUCGCUAGCAAACCCAAUGAUCCUCGGUUCAUAAUUAAAAUGCCUCCAUUCCCUAAAAGCAUGUUUAAUAGUAAAUUAAGAACUUGUACAUAUCUAUAUUGGACAGAUAAAACUAACAUAAAAAAAAAAAAAAUACCCGACGUACAUCAGCAAAGUCAAUUCAAUCGCAUUUGGAAGUUCUAAAUGCACAAAGAUGAGCAUAAAGUUACCUUAAGAAAGUGAUUGAAGAAGAGAAUCUCCGGAUAUCAGUUUCAUCGAGACCAUCAAUCUUGGGUUCUUCACAAAUCUAGAGAUUGUAUCCAUUACCCUAAAAUGUUUCUCGAUUGAAUAACCAAAUAUAGAGAACCUAACUCCAGAAUCACCAUUAAAUGGUGGUUCUUCCAUUUUUCUGUUUCUUUUUUCCUACAUGUAACACAUCUGUUCGUCAAUCACUCAAAUAUGAGACAUAUAAUGCUAGAGAAGUUUUUUUUUUUUCUGUUAGUAGGAGAACAAACGUCCGUAUAAAGGAAAGAAAGACAGCGGAAUUAGAACCUACGUCCAUAAGUCUUUUUUAAAAUCUCUUAAUCAUUACAUCAAAAGAAAAGACAUAUAAUGUUAGAGAGUUGAUUAUAAGAAAUAAAACGUAAACUAUAACUGAAUGCUAAAUUUGAUACUUUAACUUAAAAAAAAAUUCAAUUCAAAAAAUUGUUGGAGCCUAACUCUGAGUUGCAAUCAACAAUAUAACUUAAUUUAAACAAAAUAAAUGUAAUAUGGAACAUCACAUUUAAUAAUAAUUACGACGCAUUAACUUGAAAUUCUUUCUAAACCUUUUUCAUCAGUAAACUUAAGUUUUUCCCUCUUAACCAAAAACAACAAAAAAUAAAAUAAAAUAAAAUCCAUGAAUUUCACAUAUUUUUCCUCUCAAAAUUUCGUGACCCAAACAUACCAGUAGGCAACGAUAAUUAGCUCAGAUGACCUGAUUUUAUUUCAAAGCAGACAGAUAAUAUAUGUGCCUCUAAAUGAUGAAAAUUAAAGGCAUAAUAAUAUUAUAUUUAAAGACAAAUAUGAUUUAUGCCUUAAAUCCAUUAUUUUAAAAAUUAAUAUUUAUGUGUAGCUUAUUCUUUGCCUUUAAUUAUUGGUUUUGUUGUAGUGUAUAAAAAAUAAUGUAUAUUAUAAUUUGAGUUAUAAUCGACUAAGUUUGGGCUUUGAAUGCUAGUCUCAAGUUUCAAUUUACAUUUUAAAAGAACUCGAAGACGUCAAAGGAUAGAGUAUGGGGCAGGUAGAAUAUUUUUCUUUUUUAUUCUCAAAUUUUUAUAUUAUAUUAAUUCUUAUAUCUAUAUUCAAUGAGAAUUUUAAAUUUAUUCACAUUUUUACCUACGAAAAUAUUUAAUUGAUGCAAAUAAUUCUUAUACUCUUAGCUUUUUUAAAAAAUAAAUUUUACCUUUUAAUUUAUUUUAAUUUUUAUCUUACAUAUUCAUAUAAUUUUUUUAUAAAUAUAUUAAUAUAUAUUUAAAAUAAAAUAUAUGUUAAUUUUAAUUAAUCUAAAAUAAAAUUUUAUAUUAUUUAAUAAUAAAUUUAUUUACUAAAUAUAUAGGCAACGGGUACAAAAUAUGUGCUAUAUUACUUGUCUCUAUCCUUGUAUCAAAUAAAAAAUUUAAAAUCAUAUUUAUCCCAUUCUUAGAAUUUAAUACCCAUUUUAAUCCCAUUGGGUAAAAAGUUGAAUUUUCUAUCUGAUAUGGAUAAAAUUAAUAUCCUUAAAUGAGUUUAAUGUUUUACACAAAUCUAUUUAAUGGGUUUAAUAUUUUUGUUUAAACCUUCAAAAAUAUUGAAUGAGCCCUCAAAACUUGAAUGGAUAACUUGACCAUUGGAUAAAUCUAUCAAAAUAUUUAACAUUUUUAUAAAUGUAAAACAAAACAAAAACAAAAAUAAUCGUAAAUAUAAUUUGAGUUUAAAUUUAUAAAUAAUAUGGAUGGUAGUACUUACAAGAGUAAGGAUACAGUUAUAAUGGUGUAAAUUUUACAUUUUUUUUAUAUCAAAAUUAAAUUUAUGUAUUAAAAUAAUAUUUAAUCUCAACCACUUUGAUCUAAUAAUAAAAAAAAAAAAAUGUAAAACUUAUAUUAACACAAGUGGAUCGCUCAUCUUACCUAUAAUGGUAUACAAUGAAAGACUCUCUCUAAAUUUUUAAUUAUCCACUUGAUAUUUUGCAAAUAAAUUUGUUGAACUUCAAAAUUCCUUCACUGAAUAAGGAAAUAAUCCAAUUGAAUUGCAUUCAAUUUACAUUCAUUGAAUAUGAAUGGUACAACAAAACCAAGUCCUAAUCCCCAUUUCUUAUCGAAUUAACCUAUUUACUUGCCGUCAAAGACUUUUUUUGUAUUAGAAAUUUUCGAAAAGAAGUUGACAAAUUUCACAAGUAAGACAUUAAAAGACAUUAAAUAAAGAUUUAAUUGAAAAAAAUAAAAAUAAAAAAUAGAAAGACAUGAUGAUUUGUUUGGAGUAAGAUGAUGGGUUUAUAGCAUUCAAAAAUUCAGUUUGAUAAUUACUCAUGAUGACGAGUAAAAAAAAUGUUUGGUAGGUUUCUCCUUUAUAUAGUUAUCUUAUAGAAAUGUCAAGUAAUCUGUAAGCUUCCAUAUAAAGUAGGCAGGUUUCUCUUUUAUCUAGUUAUCUUAUAGAAAUGUCAAGUAAUCUGUAACCUUCCAUAUAAAGUAGGUAGGUCUCCCUUUUAUCUAGUUAUCUUAUAGAAAUGUCAAGUAAUCUAUAAACUUGCAUAUAAGGUUUUGAUUGUGAGAUUGAUAUAAUAAAUUCAAAUAAAUAAUAUAAUCAAAAUAUUCUAUUUCUAAAAUGAACCUGCCCUGUUUUAAGAGAAAUGGCCAAUUAAUUGAACUAUAGAAGGCAACCAAAUCGACUUACUCUUUUCCUUUCAUGCAUGAAUCUAAGACUAUUGCUAUCUAUAUAAGAGACUUGUGAUCAGAUCACUAACAUGCAAGUAAAUUAUAACAAUCGCUUUUAUUAUUUUUUUUAGUGAAUAUAUGAUAAGAAGUUCAUUAAAACUUCCAAUUAUUUACAAGAAGAAAUACAAAGAUAUGGCUAUGGAAAAGAGGUUUUCUCCUUUUGCAAUUUCUUAUUCAUAUUAUUGUUUCAGACAUAUAUAUAUUUCAUGAUGAUUUUACUGUUGGAUUUUCUUUUUUAGUAGUCAUCAACCUAAUUAAUAAAUAAAUAUGGAAUUGGACAGGUUCUUCUUCGGUCUUCUCAUUGCAGCUAUAGUAAGUGCAAUCAGAGCAGGUGAUGUUAGUUUUGAUAAGAAUUAUCACGUCACAUGGGGAAACUCUCAUGUGACUUCUCUAAACCAAGGAAGAGAAAUUCAUCUUUUAAUGGAUAAUACUUCAGGUUCGAUACAUGAAAACAACUAACUUAUACAUUUGCAUGCAUGUAUAAACGUAUUUAAAAAAGACACGUGCAUAUAUAUAAUCACUCGUAGCUAAACUUUUAAUAUAUGAAAAUGUAAAUUAAAAAACAAAGAAUCACUAAUGGUGGUUAUAUGAAUGCAGGGGCUGGGUUCCAGUCCAAUGUCGGGUAUGCUUCAGGGUUUUUCCAAAUGAAAAUAAAGACACCCAACAAGGAUUCUACUGGAGCUGUUACAACUUUUUAUGUACAUAUAUCUUUUUCUGUACUUUAAAAAAAAAUUCCUGUCUUCUCUAACAUGUAUUAGUUAAAGUAUAAUUUAAUGAACAUUUUGGUGGGUUGAUGGCAUGUAUGCAGUUGACCUCAAAUCCACAAAACACAGGAAACCAUGACGAGCUAGAUUUUGAGUUUUUGGGUAGCAAGGGUCCUCCUUUUACAUUGCAAACAAAUGUUUUCGCUAAUGAUAGAGGAGGCCGAGAGCAAAGGAUUCAUCUUUGGUUUGAUCCCACUGCUGAUUUUCAUACUUACGGAAUUCUUUGGAAUCAGCAUCAAAUAGUGUAAGCAAAAACUAUUCUCUUUAAACUAAUUUGAUUCUAAUUUAACUAGUUACAACAUUGCUUUGAAGUCCUUGGUUUUAUGUUUUGUGCAGGGUUCAUGCAUGGAAAUUAACAUUUCUAAUUUAAGUCUCUUAAAAAUAAUUUGAUUCUUUAACCCUAGUUUUCUUGCCUUUUCAGGUUUUAUGUGGAUAAUACACCCAUAAGAGUUUUCAAGAACAAUACAAAUAUCGGAGUAAAUUAUCCUUCACAACAAUUAGUGAUUCAAGGAAGCCUAUGGAAUGGAGAAGGUUGGGCAUCGGGUGGAAGAAAAAUUGAUUGGAGUCAAGCUCCAUUUAUAGCCAGUUUUCAAGGGUUCAACGUGGAUGGUUGUCAAUUCCACGACACUGCGACCAAAGCGCAAUGCUAUAAUUCUAACUUGUGGUGGAAUGGAAACAAAUAUUUGGAACUAGACCCUGCUCAGCACAAAGCAUUACAGUAUGCAAGAACCAAGUACAUGUUUCAAGACUACUGCACUUCUCCAAGUGGGAGGUACCAUAAAGAAUGCGGAAGUAAUAAAUAAAUGAAGAGAUAAAUAUGUAAAAAUUUCUGCUUAGUUGGAUUGUUUUAUAUGCAAUAUAUAGAUAGCAAAUAAAUUAGAAUAUUUUAAUUAAAAAAUUAUAAACAUUGGUAUUCUUAUCCUUGUACAAAAAUGGAAAUUAUCAUGUUUAUGCCCUUUAAAAAAAAAACAAAAUAAUAAAUAAACCAAACAAAUGUCAAAUUUGUUGGGUAUUUCAAUUUCAAAGUCAAUCCCAAAGUUGCUUUUCCAAUCACAAAUGAGAAUGACGUCAAGCCCAUCCUUCUGGGCCCACAAUGCGGUGCUAUAAAGGCACUUUCACGGAGUUGGGUAUCUUCUCCAUGAUGGUUGGAUCCGACAAGCCACAAUUUAUGAACUUUGUUAGAAGGAAAGGGUCGUUCAAUAAAUUGGUAAAUGAGGUAAACGAUCAAUUCAAAGCCUAUCCAAUAAAAGAUUUUAUAUUUCGUACAAAAAAAUUUAUAAAAAUACUUAGAGCACCAAAACUAAAAAGCGCACAUGAACAUGUGGAGGUUAGAAAAGUUCUUUCUUGCACUGCUGUGCAACAUGUUUGUCUUUGUUUUCCCACGCUUCCAACUUUCUCUUCUGAAGCCCAACCCGUGUUUGUUAUUUUCCAAAGAUGAACCUUUAGGUACUCUCUCUCAGCCUUGCUGUUCCAAUGUAAAAGGAGUCUCCUCCUAUAUGUAAAACGCUUAUUUGAUUUGGUUUGCCCAACCGUGUCACCCUCAAAUGAUUUUAUAUUGGUUCGGUUGGCUUUAAUUUGAUGCCUUCGGCAUAGCACAUGGAAAUCGAUUUAUUUGUGUUUAGUCAUACAUUUACCAUUCGUGAAGAAUUCAACUUUCUUGGUUGUUAUUUUAAUUUAAAGCCAAAUUAAUCUUGAGAUUGUUUCUGACGUCUGGAUUAAUUAGACUCAUACAAAUACAAUUUAUUGCGUUUGUUUGUUUCAAGAGUGAUAAAAUAGGUUUAUAUGCACCAAAAAUCAAAAUGUUUUUUUUAUAUACUCAACUUUUAUUCCUAAAGUAAAUAAUCGGUAAACUUGAUUCAAACUUUGAAAAACUGAUUUAAUUCAUUAAAUUUAAAAUCCAACCUAAUUUAAUUUGAUUAAAAAAAUCAUCGAUAUAAAUCUAUUUAACUCAAUUUUAAAAUAACUCUCAAGUUUAAAUUCAAAGUAACUUAAAAUUGAGAUGAUUUAAACUUAAAAACAAAUCAAAAUGAUUCAAUCCAAACUCACUUAAUUACCAUACCUCUUUAGGAUCUUUUGAACUUUGUGACUUCAAACUUGGGGGUUGUUAAUUCUUCAAGUUAAGGAAAAAGAAACAGAUUAAUGUGUUAGUCCUCCACAAUCAUUUGUAGUUUGAAGUUGCUUCCAAUUGUUCAAAGCAGUGCUAGAUAGAAUACGUGUAAGAGGUUUGUUGUAUGCGGAUAACAAUGAAGAAGUCAAUAGCGUGUAAGGAAGUUGGAUCAAAUGGUGAUACCUUAUACUUUUCUUUUCUUUUUUGGCUUUUUUCAUGGAUAGAUCUUAGUUGGGAAGCUGGCAGAUCAAAACAUCGAUCCCUAUAUAAACUCACUAAAUGAUAAUGCAGUCGUUACUAAAGAUAUGGAAAUGCAAUAUUUUUCCCUUGCAGCUAUGUUUACUUUCAUCAAUAUUUUUCCUUCUUGGCUGCUGCAGCCUGUUUGCAAACACUACUGAUAUUGUUAGAUUUGAUGAAAACUAUGAAAUUACAUGGGGAAGUGAUCAUGUUUUGUCUUUAAAUCAAGGAAGUGAAAUUCAGCUCUCAAUGGAUAUCUCUUCCGGUUAUCUUCUUUCUCUUCUAACACUCGCUUUAAUAGCUAUAAAUAUACAUAACAUUAUGCAUGCCUUUUUUUUUUAAAAAAGAAAAAGAAAAACAGGCAUUUAUGUUUUAUUUUGACUUAGUUGAAAAUUUUGUUACAUGGUUUAUACCAUCUUAGAGAAUCUUUUAUUUUUCUUAGAAAUCUUAAACGUCAAUAUAAUAUUUAUAUGAUACGUUUGUAGAAUAUUGAAUUUUUAAUUUUAAUAAUCAAAAUUCAAUCUUUAAUAACUUUAAAUUAAUAUAUAAAUAAAUUUAAACCCUAAUCAUUAAAAAUAAGAAUAUAAUACUAUAUUAAUAGAUAAUAUCGUUGGUAUCACUUAUAAAGGAUUGAUUUAAUCCACCGUUCUAUCUUGACGUGUGGAAUAUUGAGGUGUUUUAAAAUGUGGUGGAAUUAUAAAAAAAAAAAACCAAUUACCAAAUAAAACUUUGUGAUAUUCUUACUAUAUUUAACUUCUUCAUUUUUUUUUAUCACUAUCGUUUAUUGAAGAAAUUAUAAACAAUCAAUUACAGGAGCUGGGUUUGAGUCGAAGCUGAGUUAUGGUAGUGGAUUUUUUCAUUUGAGGAUAAAGCUACCCAAUAAGGAUUCUGCUGGAGUUGUUACUGCUUUUUACGUAAAAUAUCUUUCAUUUCUGUUUAAUUUCCUCUUGAAUUUACCAAUAUUCUUAUUGAUUAUUUGUAAUGACAAUUAACAGCUGACAUCAAAAGGCAAGAGGCAUGACGAGCUGGAUUUUGAGUUCUUGGGUAAUAGAGAAGGCAAGCCGAUUAGCUUGCAAACCAAUGUGUUCGCAGAUGGUGUUGGGAAUAGAGAGCAAAGGUUUCUUCUCUGGUUUGAUCCUACUGCAGAUUUCCACAAUUACCAAAUUCUUUGGAACCAACACCAAAUUAUGUACGAAUAAUCUCCCCUUCCCCUUUUUCUGCAUUGCAUGCCUUAAUUACUAUGAUUAUUUUCGCACCAAUAAUUCUGCAAAAAUAUAUCUUUUUGAAUUCAAAAUUUAACUCAAUUAAUUCAUGUACUUAUUUUAAAAAAUAAAAUCUAAUAAAUUUAAUAUUCAACUUUGAACAUCUAUAAAUUUUAUUUAUCGUCAAAUUAUGCUUAUCACUUACUGUAUGAUCAUAUUUAAAGCAUAUGUAUCUUUUAGUUAAAUAUGACGAGAAUCUCUUCUCAUUGCACUGAAUUGCAGACACUAUAUAUAUAACUAUAUGUAUAGGUAUAUUUAUGCAUAUGGAUUCCUGUGUUUACAGAUUCUACGUGGACGACAUCCCGAUCAGGGUGUUCAAGAACAAUGAAGAUAUUGGAGUUGUGUACCCGUCAAAGCCGAUGAAAAUAGAAGCAAGCUUGUGGGAUGGAGAUAGCUGGGCAACCGAUGGAGGCCGAACAAAGACUAAUUGGAGCAUGGCACCCUUCAAAGCCCAUUUCCAAGGAUUUGAUAUAAGUGGUUGCUCAAUAAUUCAGAACUCAAGCAAUAUUCAACAGUGUUUUUCUCCCAAUUAUUGGUGGAAUUCAGAGAAAUAUAGGAAGUUAGAUUCCAAGCAACAAGGAGAACUGCAAAAUGUAAGAAAGGAAUACAUGAACUAUGACUAUUGUUCGGAUAGGCCUAGAUACCCUGUUCCUCCUCCGGAGUGCCUUCAUCAAUAGAGUUCAUGAUCAUGGGUUAAUUUAAGUUGCUAUAUUAAAUAAUAAUGCAGCUGAUGUAAUAAAAGAAAAUGUUAAAUUGUUCCACUUUAUA